rnacentral:rRNA from 1 species
UAGGGAAUCUUCCGCAAUGGACGAAAGUCUGACGGAGCGACGCCGCGUGAGCGAAGAAGGUCUUCGGAUCGUAAAGCUCUGUUGUUAGGGAAGAAGAAGUGCCGUUCGAACAGGGCGGCACGGUGACGGUACCUAACGAGAAAGCCCCGGCUAACUACGUGCCAGCAGCCGCGGUAAUACUUAGGGGGCGAGCGUUUUCCGGAAUUAUUGGGCGUAAAGCGCGCGCAGGCGGUCCAUUAAGUCUGAUGUGAAAGCCCACGGCUUAACCGGGGAGGGUCUAUGGAAGCUGGGGGUAUUGAGGGCAGAAGAGGAGAGCGGAAUUCCAGGUGUAGCGGUGAAAUGCGUAGAGAUGUGGAGGAACACCAGUGGGGAAGGCGGCACUCUAGUCUGUAACUGACGCUGAGGCGCGAAAGCGUGGGGAGCAAACAGG